CUAGCGACUUCAGAGUUUGAUCCUGGCUCAGGAUGAACGCUGGCGGCGUGCCUAACACAUGCAAGUCGAACGAAGCUCGAUCCUCGGAGAUUUCGGUCAAAGAGGAAAGAUGACUUAGUGGCGACGGGUGAGUAAUGCGUGAGCAACCUGCCUUGGAGUGGGGGACAACAGUUGGAAACGACUGCUAAUACCGCAUAAUGUAUUUGGGGGGCAUCCUCUGAAUACCAAAGAUUUAUCGCUCUGAGAUGGGCUCACGUCUGAUUAGCUAGUUGGUGGGGUAACGGCCUACCAAGGCUGCGAUCAGUAGCCGGACUGAGAGGUUGAACGGCCACAUUGGGACUGAGAUACGGCCCAG
rnacentral:rRNA from 1 species